rnacentral:rRNA from 1 species
CAUGGAGCCGACCUUGAAAUACCACCCUUUAAUGUUUGAUGUUCUAACGUUGGCCCGUAAUCCGGGUUGCGGACAGUGUCUGGUGGGUAGUUUGACUGGGGCGGUCUCCUCCUAAAGAGUAACGGAGGAGCACGAAGGUUGGCUAAUCCUGGUCGGACAUCAGGAGGUUAGUGCAAUGGCAUAAGCCAGCUUGACUGCGAGCGUGACGGCGCGAGCAGGUGCGAAAGCAGGUCAUAGUGAUCCGGUGGUUCUGAAUGGAAGGGCCAUCGCUCAACGGAUAAAAGGUACUCCGGGGAUAACAGGCUGAUACCGCCCAAGAGUUCAUAUCGACGGCGGUGUUUGGCACCUCGAUGUCGGCUCAUCACAUCCUGGGGCUGAAGUAGGUCCCAAGGGUAUGGCUGUUCGCCAUUUAAAGUGGUACGCGAGCUGGGUUUAGAACGUCGUGAGACAGUUCGGUCCCUAUCUGCCGUGGGCGCUGGAGAACUGAGGGGGGCUGCUCCUAGUACGAGAGGACCGGAGUGGACGCAUCACUGGUGUUCGGGUUGUCAUGCCAAUGGCACUGCCCGGUAGCUAAAUGCGGAAGAGAUAAGUGCUGAAAGCAUCUAAGCACGAAACUUGCCCCGAGAUGAGUUCUCCCUGAGACUUAGAGUCUCCUGAAGGAACGUUGAAGACGACGACGUUGAUAGGCCGGGUGUGUAAGCGCAGCGAUGCGUUGAGCUAACCGGUACUAAUGAACCGUGAGGCUUAACCUUACAACGCCGAAG